CCUACGGGUGGCUGCAGUGAGGAAUAUUGGUCAAUGGACGCAAGUCUGAACCAGCCAUGCCGCGUGAAGGAUGAAGGCCUUCUGGGUUGUAAACUUCUUUUAUUGGGGAAGAAAAUUACGGUUUCUACUGUAACCGACGGUACCCAAUGAAUAAGCACCGGCUAACUCCGUGCCAGCAGCCGCGGUAAUACGGAGGGUGCAAGCGUUAUCCGGAUUCACUGGGUUUAAGGGGUGUGUAGGCGGGCUAGGAGAAAUCUCCGGGCUCAACCCGGAAACUGCCAUUGAUACUAUUAGUCUUGAAUAUCGUUGAGGUAGGCGGAAUAUAUCAUGUAGCGGUGAAAUGCAUAGAUAUGAUAUAGAACACCGAUUGCGAAGGCAGCUUGCUAAACGAUGAUUGACGCUGAGGCACGAAAGCGUGGGGAUCAAACAGGAUUAGAUACCCUGGUAGUC
rnacentral:rRNA from 1 species